UACGAAGGGGACUAGCGUUGUUCGGAAUUACUGGGCGUAAAGCGCACGUAGGCGGAUUUGUUAGUCAGGGGUGAAAUCCCGGGGCUCAACCUCGGAACUGCCUUUGAUACAGCAAGUCUUGAGUUCGAGAGAGGUGGGUGGAAUUCCUAGUGUAGAGGUGAAAUUCGUAGAUAUUAGGAAGAACACCGGUGGCGAAGGCGGCCCACUGGCUCGACACUGACGCUGAGGUGCGAAAGCGUGGGGAGCAA
rnacentral:rRNA from 1 species